UUGACUUUCCAUGCUUGCUUUCAGCUUUUCUCUUUUACUAUAAGAUUACCCCCACCCCCCCUCUCUCUCUCUCACACAUUAAUAUUUAUAUAUUCCUCUGGUUGCUUAGUACCAAACAUCCACCUCUUUGUUCUUCCUAUCAAAUCUUUAACCAUGACAGACCCCCACUCCAAUUUCUGCACAGGACGGCUCAAUUUCAUGCCUGAUCUCCAUCCUCACUUUUCUUCUUUCCCUUCUUAUUACGCCAACCCUAGUUUGAAUUCCUAUCCUUUUUAUUCCUGUUCAGACAACAUCAUAAAGCACAGAUCUUCCAUUCAAGAGUGCCAAUCCUCUAUUCCCUCAUCACCUUCCUCACCUCCUCUCAAGGAAGCUCUUCCUCUAAUAAACAGCUUAAGCCUUACCAGACAUGAAGAACACGAGUCCUCAAGUAGUGCAAUGGAAGAGGAAGAGGACAAGAACAAGGUUGAUGGAGAUGAAACUUUUGCCGUAGCCCUACAUAUAGGCCUCCCUAGCCCUAGUUCACAUUCGGGCUCUAUGUUGAUCUCUCCUUCAGCAGAUCAUGUGACGGAUAAGGAAGGAGGAGUACUUAACGUGAUGUCAGGAUACCCCUUGGACAGACCCAACCAGAGUCAGUAUUGGAUUCCGACCCCUUCACAGAUUCUCAUUGGUCCUACUCAGUUCUCCUGUCCAGUUUGCUCCAAGACCUUUAAUAGAUACAAUAAUCUCCAGAUGCAUAUGUGGGGACAUGGAUCUCAAUACAGGAAAGGACCACACUCUCUGAAGGGAACUCAGCCGACAGCCAUGCUAAGGCUCGCAUGCUAUUGCUGUGCACCAGGAUGCAAGCACAAUAUAGAGCACCCAAGAGCGAGGCCUCUCAAAGAUUUUAGAACUCUCCAAACACAUUACAAGAGAAAGCAUGGGACCAAAUCUUUCAUGUGCAGAAAAUGUGGCAAGGCAUUUGCAGUGAAAGGUGAUUGGAGAACCCAUGAGAAGAACUGUGGGAAGGUUUGGUAUUGCAUUUGUGGGUCGGACUUUAAGCAUAAGAGAUCUCUAAAAGACCACGUCAAGGCUUUUGGCGUCGGUCACGGAGCUUUUGGUAUCGAUUGCUUUCGAGAAGAGGAUGAACCUGCAUCAGAUAAUGAACUUGAUUGUGACUCCUCGAUGUGAAAUUAAUUAUGAAAUCGAGUCUCUUGGUGAAUUCUCUGAUCAUCACUUCAUGAACUGCUGGAUAUGUACAAGCGAUCGAUGAUCACUGGCCAGAAGCUUAAUCAAGCUUGGGGGUUACGUACGGAGAAAUUCCAUGAGCAAAAUGAAGAAGAUAAUCAAUUAAUUAAUUCCUAGUCAUGUGAAGCUAGCUAGGUUCCUAAUUGAAUUAAGCAUUCUCAAGAUGCAGCUUGAAGAAUGAAGUCACUCAUGUGGAUACGUGAUAUAAUUAGUUGUACAUGGGGGUACGUACGUAAGUAAUGUUCAAGAAAACCCGGCCUUAA